rnacentral:sRNA from 1 species
CAACGAAGCAACCAUGCCCAGUGAGCCU